GUUAGUUCUGCCUUCUUGCCUGCGGGGUGCCCCGCACUUUAGGGGUUCGCUGCUGCCUCGGGCUCCUUAAGUUCUUCAGGGCCUCACUCCAUCACUAAACUGCUCAAUCUAGAUAGAUUUGCGAUCCUCCUGCCUCAGCCUCCCAGAGUGCUGGGCUCACCAGGAUGCGGCACCACCCUCGUCUGGCUGCAGGGACUUCUCCCUACGGAGUCACAGGGCGAUGGAGACCUCACGCGCCAGGAGGGAUAGGAAGACAGGGACCAGCAUCGUGAGCGCCUAGAAACUAGCCUGGAAGUUACAAGCUCCAUCUGGAAAGACUCAUUGCGUACGCGCUGCCCGACUCAGUCAUGAAAUACGGAUUGGAGGCCUUUCCAGCUCCAGUCAAGGUCCCGAGUGGACUUUGGUUGUUUUUUCUUCUCUAUCUUCUUCCUUUUUUUUUUUAAAUGGGAAAUGGAACCCAGGCCUUUGCAUGAAACUACAUUCCCCGACCGUACUUUUCUAUUUUCUUCAGGAACGAGGUCUCCCUAAGUCAUUCUAUUGCCCAGGCUGGGCUCAAACUCACCGCCCUUCUGCUUGGCCCUGCAGAGUGGGGCUGGCACUGCAGACCCAGGCCUGCACCCAGUCCAGCUUUGCUGGUUUCCUGUGAAACCCGGUCUGAGAGACAGCAAAGCGCGAAGCAGGCGGUGAGGUUGCCGGGGUCACGCAGAGCCAGCAGCUUCACUCCUGGGACAGUAGGGACCCAGACCGGGUGCCCACCGGCUCCAUCACCAGUGCACUGGGUGUCAGUCUCCCCAGGGCAGGGGCAGCUGCACACUCCAAUCAGGCCCAGGGAACAACGAGGUGCCCAACUAAGGUCGCAGACACACAGUGUCCCGAGCUGAGCCCAAGCAGGAGUCCAUCUGUGGGGCCUCGAAUUUUCUGGACCUGGACAGAGCCAAUGGCUGCAAAGCACUGUGAACAUGCUGAGGGCUGCUGAAUAACACACCUUCAACUCCAUGAAACCAGGGUGGUGGCGCCCAUUUGUCACCUAGCACCUGGGAGGCUGAGGCAGGAGGAUCAUACAAGUCUGAGGCCAGCCUGGUCUCCUCAGCGAGAUGGUGUCAAAAGCUCAACAGUAAAAAAUAGAAAAAUUCAACAGUAAAAUAAAAGGGAUGAAGGGAAAAUAAUGUCUCUCCAAUUGAGGGACAGUGGAAGGUGGGGAAAGUGUCAUUGAUGCAAGGAGACAGAGGCCACCACAGGGCCUGGUCCUCAGGGUCCUAGAGGAGAGAGAACACUGCAGGGCAUGAGCUACAUCUGUGUCCUUUUUAUUCUUCUAUUUAUUUAUUUAUUUCUGUUUUUGAGACAGGGUCUUCCUAUGCAGUUCAGGCUGGACUUGAAUUCACUAGGUAGCCCAAGUUGUGAGACCCUCCUGCCUCGGCCUCCUCAGUGCUGUGAUUACAGGUGGGCAACUGCACCCAGCUAUUGGGAAGUGGGGGACAGGACUCAAUAGGUCACUGAGCUGCCCAAGCAAGCUCCAACUUGCCCUCUGCCUGAGAGUCUCAGAUCACAGCAAGUGCUCCACUCCUGGCCCUGAAUCUCCUCCUCCUCCUCUUCCUUCUCCUCCUCUUCCUUCUCCUUUUUUCUUCUUCCUCUUUUUCUUCAUCUCCUUCUCCUCAUUUUGUUUGUGUAUGAGAGGAGUCUAACGGGCUUUUCAAUAAACUAAAACCUCA